CCUACGGGUGGCUGCAGUGGGGAAUCUUGCGCAAUGGACGAAAGUCUGACGCAGCGACGCCGCGUGGGUGAUGAAGGCCUUCGGGUUGUAAAGCCCUGUGGGGAGAGAAGAAUAAGUGCGGGCUAAUACCCCUCAUGAUGACGGUAUCUCCUUAGCAAGCACCGGCUAACUCUGUGCCAGCAGCCGCGGUAAGACAGAGGGGGCAAAAGUGGUUCGGAAGUGCUUGGAGUCGGGCGUGUGUGGGCGGUGUGAAAGCCCCGGGCUCAACCCGGGAAGUGCACUCGAUACUGUUAGGCUAGAGUACUGGAGAGGUUGGUGGAAUUCUCGGUGUAGAGGUGAAAUUCGUAGAUAUCGAGAGGAACACCGGUGGCGAAGGCGGCCAACUGGACAGAUACUGACGCUGAGACACGAAAGCGUGGGGAGCAAACAGGAUUAGAUACCCGAGUAGUC
rnacentral:rRNA from 1 species